CAGACUUUCAGUGCACUAGGUGUUUGAAAUCUUCCUCUAAGCCACGCAGGCAGCUGGCUCUUGCACUCACUCGUCUAUUUCUCUGGGGCUUCCCAAGCAUCCACUCCGAUGCCAAGCCUGGCUCCUGUACAUCGUGACAACAAGGGUGCCCCUACCCUCGAAGGAUACCGCCCCAACCUCUCCACCUGGCUAAAUCACUCAUCCUUUGAGAUGCAGAAGCCAAAGAGAUCCUCAGCACAUACCUCCAGAAAGCCAGUUACUGCAGGGGAUGCGUACGGACCAGCCAGGAUCCUUAAAGCAUAAAGGCAAGAGCCAAGUCUCAGUAAACUCUGCAUGGGCCACAGCUCGGAAAAGAAAAAAACCUGUUAUAUCAUGGGAGCUCAGUGCUUGCUGAACUGAACUGAUUCACAUCAUGACUUGGGAUUCAUGAACCAGAAGCACAGGAAAUUAAUAAAAACUGAAAACGAGCCAAAGAGAAGGGAAAGGCUCUCUUACCACUGUUGAGAAUGUUAUGUUUAAUCCCUGCAAGCAGUAGAGACUCAGUGUACUUCCAUGAAGUGCUGCUUGGGCAUUCAUGAGGCAUUAAGGGAGAAAGAAUUUUUAAAAUCUUUGUCUUCUCAAAAGGGAAUACCACGAUGGGGCCAUGUCUAGAGCAAGGUGUCUAAGGUGAUUCUAGGGCCCUCGCCCAAGAAACGAAAGCAGCAUUGAACAUGUCCAGGAAGGAUGUGAAGCCUGAAGCCAAUGCAGAAGACAAAGCUAGAUAACCCCUGUCUCUAAGACAUAGGGACUUAGAACUCUUACCCUGAUGAGCAACAUUGAACAUUGGAUGUGUUCACCAGAAUGGAAGGAGACACACUCCUGCCGAAAUCAUGAAGGGCAAACUGACCCAGAAAAGGGACAGGUCAAGGAAGGUAUUACCUCUGCAUAGUUCUAGGUGUCCUGCUUAACUCAUUCAGGAAUUUCGGGCCAGAGGGAUAUCCAACAGGAAUUCUAACCUGAAGAGUUUAGAAACCAGUAGGAGAAUCAGGAUGAAUUCAGAAAUUACUAUAAUAUGCAUUUUCAAGUGAUAAAUCCCAUCAAAAACAGAAAAAGUGCUUGAAGAACUGGAAGGAACAGUGAUCAUUCUUGUCAGAUGGAAUCUUAAAAUCCAGUGGGUUUCAAAGGAUGAGCAGGAGCUGGACAUGAAGGGAUUGGAGGAUGGGGACUGGAAAUGGGGAGUUCAUUGCAAUCAGAAGGAAGAGCAAGAAAGGAACAAAAAGCAAGCAGUGUUUGGGGAGACCAGGAUGUGAUUCCAGUUUGGCCAAAAUAUAGGGUAUACUGGGAGAAUCUAUUGAGGUUUUGGGAGUGUAUUUGUUUGUAGUUUGAAAACACCUAAGCAAUUUUGAAGAGAAGCAGACUCUUUAAGUCAGAUGCUGGGUUCUCCAGUCCAAAUAUGCCAAUAUAAUUGUGUCUGGUCAAUGUCUAUCCUGUCCAUCCCUCCUGAGUGCCAGAUCUAAAUCCAGGUGCCAAUGGAUGACUUCCACUUGGGUGCCCCACAGGCGUCAUGAAUUCAGUAUGACUGAAAAGGACUCCUCCUAUCUUCAGCGAUGGUUCCACUACACAAUACACUGUCCAAGCCAGAAGUCCCAAACUAGCCUUCUGUCCUUCCUUCUCCAUUCACCACGCCUGUCAUCCCCUUCAGAGCUGUUGGCCAAAUCUUGUUGAUUUUACCAAGUAUCUAUCAAAAUGUUUCCUCUUCCUCCCUGUACUCACUGCAAUCACUUUUGCUCAAGGGCUCAUCAUUUCGUGCCUGGGUGACUAGAGUUGUUUCCCAGCAGGUCUCCCCACCCUCCUUUCUCACAUGGCUGCCAGAACGGUCUUCUGAAAGGCAAAUCUGACCAUUCGACAACUCUGCUCUAAAUUCCUCCUAUGGAUCCCCAUGGCUUGGAUUUAAUAAAUGUUUAUUGAGUGAAUGAGUUCUCUGCAUACAUGUUGUUCUCUGCCUGGUACCGUGGAGGUCAGGCUCGCACAGAAGCAUACUUAUGGUCAGAGUUAGUCAAUAAAAAAAGUGAUCUAUUCUGAGUUCCAUACCACCCCAAAACACUGAUCAGCUUGGGGAAACUUAGAAAGUUCAACCACCUGGGGAUAAAGUUUGGACAACUAGGCUAGGGCCAAUUCAGGGUACAGGUGGAGGCUAGGAAGUUUGGCAUAGGAUAUCAUUAAAGGUCUUCUAAGGAUGAAGGCAAUUGGAGCUACACUAUAGGAAGGCACAGCAGGCGGAGAACAGACUUGAGAAGGAUUUGGGAGGUGAAGAAACAGCUAAAAGACUCUAUCUCUGACAAAGAUAUAAUGCCCAGAAUUAGAAGAGUGGAAAUGAAGGAAUGAUGAAUGAAAGAGAUUAUCAAGAAGAAACAAACAAACAAAUAAACAAACAAAAAUCCCUGUAAUCAGUAACCAUCUAUUAUUAUGUCCCAGAUUUUGGAAAUGAGACCCUAAUGACAAGCACUCCUAAACCUUCAACAUAGCUGCUGUUAAGGAUGUUGUCUUGUGGGGGUGAAAGGCAGACCAAAAUGAUACUACCACCCUACUCCUUACCGAUGAGUCCUUUCUGAUUUUAAGCAAAUGGCAUACAGUGUGGUGAAUUAAAAACAGCAUUAUCCUGAUUUUAUUACUAGUAUCAUUACUAUUAGCAUUAUUGCUACUGCUGUUAUAGGUAAAAAUGGGAACGUUGUGAACAUUUCCCAUUGCCUAUCCAAGGUGCUUGGUACUUUACAUGAUAUCUCACUUAAUCAUCAGAAAGUUUGGAGUUAUUCUAUAGGUAAUGAGGGAGAUGCUAUUAUUACCUGCUGUGGUGGAAUAAAGAUGGCUGCAAAUUCUUUGUCACUUCUACCAGAAGAAAGUGAGGUGUAUGUCUGCUCCCCUUGAAUCUGAGUGGGUUUUGUAACUGCUUAGUCCACAGCAGUCAUGCUGUGCCAACCCCUAAGCCAGGCCAUAAGAAACUGGCAGCUUCCUGUUACUUUCUUUUGGAAUCCUCUGGGAGCCCUGAGCCACCAUGUAAGAAAUCUGAUGGCCCUAUAUCUGCCAUGCAGGAAAGGCCAUGUGUAGGGCUCUGGGUAAGAGUCCCUCAGCUGAGCCAAGCAUCCCAGUCAUCCUCGUGAAAGUGCCAGACCCAUGGGUGACCAUCCUGGACCAGCUGAAGUGCCAGUCCAAUUCAUCCUCCAGCAUAGCACCACUGACUGACCCCAGUCAACACCACAAGGGGCAGAAGAGUCACUCCACUGAGCCCCAACUUACAGAAAUCACAAGAUAAAACAAAAUGGUUGUUGUUUUAAGCCUCUAAGUUUUGGGGUAAUGUAUUAUGCGGCUAUACAUAAAUUGGAACAUCCACGUUUUACAGAUGAGCUACUUGUUACUCCAAAAGUUUGGCUGACUUAUCUGUAGUCUCCUGGCUGAUGAGGUGUGCAGCCUGGAUUAGAACCUCCAUCUGCCUGACCUGGCUGCACACAAUGCUUGUUAAGUUAUCCCGGAAAACGUAAGGCCAUACAGGUGUGGCAGACUAAUUAAAUUCACCAUGCUCUUUGGGCUGUGUGACUGCUACCAAAAUGUCCUACCCUACCUCACAUAUUCCCUUGUUAGGUAGAGAAGGCUGGACGAUGCUACAACUGCUUCUCCGCCAGGCCUCCCAACGCCCUCGCUGGGCAGAGUCCCAUGUGACUGUUUUCACUGCUAGAAAAAUUAACUUGCAUAAUGACCAGGAAGUAAAGAUAAACUCAAGGAUGAGAGAAAACCUCCCACCUCAGAGGCUCCACCUCACUGGGGUGAACAAGCACUGACCUUCUAUCAUCCUAUAAGGAAAACAAGAAGAAGAGAUGCUUACUUGAAUUACUACAUAGGCUCCCUGCCUACAUCCACAUCUUGAAAAUUCUGAGCUGUGAAGCUCUCGUGGUUGGCUCCUGGGAACUUGAGAUUCCCAGUGAUAUUCCAAUGCUGAAACAGCCCAGCAAGGUGAUGCAGGUAAGCACGCUUGUAGGAUGUAACAAUGUGAAACCUCAGCACACUGUGGUUAUGUUUCAAAGCACGAGGUGACGGAAGCAAGAGCGAGUUUACAUGGGCUUGUGAUUUCCUUUGACAAGAUACACGCACUCAUUCCUUCAACCUAAGCAAAAUUUCCAGGACUACAACAGAUUUGAAACUCAGGUGGACGAAAAAAACCAUCUGUGAAUGGGAUAACAUACGAAAUCAUCAAAGGUAAUUGUUUUAAAAACGUGACUCAAGAUGGCACAGAACAGCGUCCACAGAUGUAUUCUUGGUUACUUAAAAACACAAUUUAAAGUAAUUAGCUUAAUGUUGAUGUAAUUCUAAAGAUCGAUAAAUAAACCUAAAAAUCUUAAUUUGAUAUUGAAUCGCCCCAAAUUAAACAACAUAUUUUCAAACCACUAAAUAUUGAUUCAUUUGUAAGAUGAGGCCUUUCAAUGCAACUAUUUGACCUGAACGCAAACAGGAAAGGGUUGACACAUUUUCUCUGUGAAGGGCCAGAUAGUUAAGUACCUUCAUCUUCGGGCCACGUAUCGUCUCUGGCACACAGCCUUCUUUGGAUUUUUUGUUCAUUUUUGUUUUUUUUAACGGGUCAUAAAUAAAAGGCUACUGGCUGGAGUUAGCCUUUGGGCCAUAAUUGGUUCAUUCCUACCUUUUCAUAAUCUCAGUUAUUGAUCAGGUGAUUUUUCAAACUGUGAAGGGUCUACACGUUCACCCUCUUCCUUGUAAGUUAAUGAGUUAGCUACCAAGUUUUGAGGAAGCUAGCAGAAAACAGGAGACCCAGGAUCAGAUACAGAGGACUUCGUUACUCAUGGCAGAGCAAACAGCAUGAGCUUUAUUUCUGCACUGAUUCCCAUUGCCCUGGCCCCUAGUCCCACAGGGAGGAUG
rnacentral:lncRNA from 10 species